CCUAAUCCUCCUCAAGAAAUGGUUGUCAUUUUCAUUGUUCAUAUUGAGGUAAUUAGUGAAUGGCACUCUUAGCUAAACCUUGUAGUCAAAUUAGUCUUCUCUUGUGCUCCAUGGUAGAAUAGUAUUUGAUCCAAUCCACAGUGCUGUGUAUGACCUCAGUUUUGAGAUUCCAUUGCUGCCUUGCAAACCAGAAGCAAGCAGCAGGAAUCAUGUGGAGAGGUAUUUCCUCCUGGGAUUGUUCCUGAGCUUGGCAAAGGGAAGGCAUUGAGCUUUAUGGCAGAAUCUGCAUUGCCCCACCUUUAGUUCCAUCAGAGACCGUAGUGGGCUUGGUUUUCUUGUUGUUUUUUUCAGCACCUUUUAGUCUGAUAGGCGUGUUUCUUGAUAUCAGAAAAGAAGGAAUUUCUUCCAGCCUAAAUCCAAUUAGGGGGAGAAGGAAAGAUGGUGUUCAGGGGCUUCUUUAGCUGCCUCCAUUUCUAUCCUUUUGCGGCAUCUUGAGCAAAACCAGAAGCAACAGCUAGUUUCCAGAGUAGCAGCUAAUCUACUACUACUUCUAAAAUUCUUCAUCAAAAUGAGAGAAUGAUACCCUGCCCUUCUCAGCUGCUGUUGUUGUCAGCACUUAGCUAAUGUUUUGAUCUUUAAGGUAUGUAACACCGGUGCGCACACCAAGUCUAACUGUAUUUUCUUCUCUCUCACUUCCCAUAUGUCCUGGGUUCAGCAGCCUGCUGAAGGUAAGCUGACGUUUUACAAUUGCUAAUGAUUUUUCCUCAACUUUUUUUUGUUUUGGUUUUGUUUUUUUCCAAUGAACAUGAGCAGCAUGGAUUGAAACUGCUUUUCCAAAAGGCAGAGGACAGUGCUAAAAUAUCUGGACAGUGUCUUUCAGAAUGGAUCUAUUCUGUACUUUACAGUCACUAUCAGAGCUUGCAGGAUGUAUCUGAAAUAAAAUGCAUCAAAGCUGCUCAAAAUAUGUUUUCUUGUUUUCCAAAUACAGAAAGUCUGUAAGGACAAAGUCACUUGUAAUCAUCACUUUUAGCACUGGAAUUCACCUGCUUUGAAUAAGAAAAUGUUGAAAGAGGGGUUUAUCCUUUAUUGCAGUGGAGUUCCUGCAGUGUAGGACAUGUUGAAAGCUAUUCAUAACCACACAAUUCAGGAUAGUUCCAGGGCUAUAGAUUUUAUACUGUAUCUAACUUGCUGUCAUUAAAUUACAGAGAACCAGCAAGAAGGGGGAAAUUCUGGACCAAGAGUCCAGCAACAGUCGGAUAUCACUGUUCCAGCUAGAGGUGAUCCAGAUGAGUCAAGAUGUAAUGAUAUGCCACCUGGUACCAUUAGAUGUCUGAUCUACAUGGAUUUCUACUUGGCGGUAAGGAUCUGCAUUUUGUCGUGGCUUCUUUUUUGUCAGAGGGAGAACAGGGUGCGGGGUGAGCCGAGCCUCUCUGCUGGGUGAUGUGGGAUGCUGCAGACAGCUGGUUUGAGGUACAGACCUCACUGUGAAGGUCAAGCUGGCUUGCAAGUCAAAGUCAUUUCUUGGUGGUCAACACAGUGCCAGAAACACUUCCCAAGGGGGCACUGAAAGACCUUUGGGUUCCUUUAAUCAGUAAUGUACUGAUCCCAGGCACCCAAGUCCUCUCUUCCUGGUGCCAAUAGACCAGCAAAGCAUAAUUCUUCACACCAAAUUCCUCUUGUGCUGUUUUUUCUUCCAGAUUGUGCAAAACGGAUGACAUCUUGUGGCAACCAUAUGCGGCCACGUCUUCUGCAACCACUGUCUUUAUUAUUCCCUUAUGAAUGCCAACACUUGCCCAACCUGCAAGACAGAGCUUGGUGAUGGAGACUAUCAUCGCCUAUAUAUAUGAGUUUAUUUAUGUUUUAUUGUUCCAAAUAAAAAUAGUUGUGUUUU